rnacentral:tRNA from 1 species
GUUUAAAUAGCUUAUUUAUAGAGCGUAGUAUUGAAAAUAUUAAGGAAAUUGAUUGUGAUAUUUUUAGACA